AUGAACGCUGGCGGCGUGCCUCAUACAUGCAAGUCGAGCGAACAGACGAGGAGCUUGCUCCUCUGACGUUAGCGGCGGACGGGGGAGUAACACGUGGAUAACCUACCUAUAAGACUGGGAUAACUUCGGGAAACCGGAGCUAAUACCGGAUAAUAUAUUUAACCGCAUGGUUCAAUAGUGAAAGACGGUUUUGCUGUCACUUAUAGAUGGAUCCGCGCCGCAUUAGCUAGUUGGUAAGGUAACGGCUUACCAAGGCAACGAUGCGUAGCCGACCUGAGAGGGUGAUCGGCCACACUGGAACUGAGACACGGUCCAGACUCCUACGGGAGGCAGCAGUAGGGAAUCUUCCGCAAUGGGCGAAAGCCUGACGGAGCAACGCCGCGUGAGUGAUGAAGGUCUUCGGAUCGUAAAACUCUGUUAUUAGGGAAGAACAAAUGUGUAAGUAACUAUGCACGUCUUGACGGUACCUAAUCAGAAAGCCACGGCUAACUACGUG
rnacentral:rRNA from 1 species